GACGACGAGAAGGAGGGUGUCACGACGGAGGCGGCGGGACGGCGGCGAGGGAGAUGGGACGAGGGAGGAGGGGUGUUCGAUCUGGGAGGAGGGAGAUGGGCUAGGGUUCGCUGUGUGGGGGGAGAGAGAGGAGCUGGGUGGGUGAGAGGGUGAGGGAGUGUGGGCCGUUGGAUCUGUACGACUUGGACGACUCAGGUCGUUUUCAAUAAUGUGAUCCAUGGAGUCUG
rnacentral:lncRNA from 1 species